rnacentral:piRNA from 1 species
UCAUACUGAAGCAUCGUCUACCCACCUCU